rnacentral:lncRNA from 1 species
UGAUGCCCUAAAGUCUUAGAUGGACACCCACUGUGGCCAAGACGCUCGCUCGUCAAAGAACACUUUCGACUGAAGCAUACAAAUUUUGUGUGGUGGGGAAGCACCGGGUGCGCCCUCGCUCUGGUGAUCGGCUCCUCCCCUUGGCCAGCUUCCUCUUGCUUUUCUACUGGUGUUUUGGUGGCCACUUCCGUUACUUCAGCCAAUCACAACACACCAACAGUCACUUUCUCCAUCUCGAGUCUACCUUAAAAUUGACUUCAGUGUGAGAAACGAAGUGGAAAUGCAGGUCCAAGGACUUGCACACCCUCCUGCUGUCCCUGAAGUCACUGCACUGAAAUGUGAAGAUCCCUUCAUUAAGCCAUCCUUCCGUAGUUAUGAAGGCCAUGUAAUCGUUUGUUCCUGUCCUCUGUAAAUGUUACACGUACCGCAGUUCUACAUUUGCUCCCAUUUCACUAGACUCUGUUGUUGUAAAACUACUGAAACAUCUACACUGUAUCUGGAGUUUUAAUGACUUCGUC